UGGUUACUAAAGUUAAAGUUAUGUAUACAAAACUAGAUUUUGACCCGCGGUAUACCGCAGAUUUAUUUUUUCUAAAUAAAAUUUAUAUAUUAAGUAAAAUUCGUAUAGUUGAAUAAUAGAUUAUGUAUUUGAGUUAACGGUUAUAAUAUGUAUUUUUUUUAGAAUUUUAGUUAGGAUUACGGUUAAAAUGUAUAGUGUAUCUAAUAAAAGCAUGAUAAACUGUAUUAUGUAAAAUUCGAUU
rnacentral:sRNA from 1 species